rnacentral:tRNA from 1 species
GCGAAUGUAUAAAUUACACAAUUAAUCUAAAAUAAUUGAUGUAUUGUGUUCAAUUACUACAUUCGUG